CAUGCGCGUGCUAUACUGCAGUAGAACGCUGAAGAGAGGAGCUUGCUCUUCUUGGAUGAGUUGCGAACGGGUGAGUAACGCGUAGGUAACCUGCCUUGUAGCGGGGGAUAACUAUUGGAAACGAUAGCUAAUACCGCAUAACAAUGGAUGACACAUGUCAUUUAUUUGAAAGGGGCAAUUGCUCCACUACAAGAUGGACCUGCGUUGUAUUAGCUAGUAGGUGAGGUAAUGGCUCACCUAGGCGACGAUACAUAGCCGACCUGAGAGGGUGAUCGGCCACACUGGGACUGAGACACGGCCCAGACUCCUACGGGAGGCAGCAGUAGGGAAUCUUCGGCAAUGGGGGCAACCCUGACCGAGCAACGCCGCGUGAGUGAAGAAGGUUUUCGGAUCGUAAAGCUCUGUUGUAAGUCAAGAACGGGUGUGAGAGUGGAAAGUUCACACUGUGACGGUAGCUUACCAGAAAGGGACGGCUAACUACGUGCCAGCAGCCGCGGUAAUACGUAGGUCCCGAGCGUUGUCCGGAUUUAUUGGGCGUAAAGCGAGCGCAGGCGGUUUGAUAAGUCUGAAGUUAAAGGCUGUGGCUCAACCAUAGUUCGCUUUGGAAACUGUCAAACUUGAGUGCAGAAGGGGAGAGUGGAAUUCCAUGUGUAGCGGUGAAAUGCGUAGAUAUAUGGAGGAACACCGGUGGCGAAAGCGGCUCUCUGGUCUGUAACUGACGCUGAGGCUCGAAAGCGUGGGGAGCGAACAGGAUUAGAUACCCUGGUAGUCCACGCCGUAAACGAUGAGUGCUAGGUGUUGGAUCCUUUCCGGGAUUCAGUGCCGCAGCUAACGCAUUAAGCACUCCGCCUGGGGAGUACGACCGCAAGGUUGAAACUCAAAGGAAUUGACGGGGGCCCGCACAAGCGGUGGAGCAUGUGGUUUAAUUCGAAGCAACGCGAAGAACCUUACCAGGUCUUGACAUCCCGAUGCUAUUUCUAGAGAUAGAAAGUUACUUCGGUACAUCGGUGACAGGUGGUGCAUGGUUGUCGUCAGCUCGUGUCGUGAGAUGUUGGGUUAAGUCCCGCAACGAGCGCAACCCCUAUUGUUAGUUGCCAUCAUUCAGUUGGGCACUCUAGCGAGACUGCCGGUAAUAAACCGGAGGAAGGUGGGGAUGACGUCAAAUCAUCAUGCCCCUUAUGACCUGGGCUACACACGUGCUACAAUGGUUGGUACAACGAGUUGCGAGUCGGUGACGGCGAGCUAAUCUCUUAAAGCCAAUCUCAGUUCGGAUUGUAGGCUGCAACUCGCCUACAUGAAGUCGGAAUCGCUAGUAAUCGCGGAUCAGCACGCCGCGGUGAAUACGUUCCCGGGCCUUGUACACACCGCCCGUCACACCACGAGAGUUUGUAACACCCGAAGUCGGUGAGGUAACCUUUGGAGCCAGCCGCUAAAGACAAU
rnacentral:rRNA from 1 species